ACCAGAACGAUGGGAAACAAAACUACACACAAGUCUCAAGCACAACUCAAGGGUUACAAAAUCCCGAAGACAACUAAUGAUAAAAGACAAAAAGAGAACUGGAAAACAACCUGUUAAACAGUCAACCCUGAUGAAAUGGCAUGCUUUAAUGUUUGUU